ACCGACCCCUCCGAGUCUUGGAGGGGAAGGGAGUUCCGGGGCGGGUAUGAUCCAUGCGGCUGCGGAAGGCUGUGAACCGGGAGGAGGAGAGGCUUCUGGGGCCGGGAAGGGUUGCUUUCUUCUUACCUGUUUCACCUGCUAAGAUGAGUCAACAACAUAACCAGAUGAUCAAUACCCUACCCUGUGUUCUCCACACCUGAUUUGGGGACUGGAUGAAAGGGUGCAGAAGAGACUACAUCAACCACUGAAGAUCACAUCAGGAGUAAAUUUUGCAAUGGGCUUUAUAUUAUGAUUUUUCCUUUUCAAGGGAGAGAAGUUUGGGGCUAGUAACAGCAUGAGAACAGAUAUAGAAACCUUUAAGCCAUGUUUGGGAAAUUAUGGAUAAUCUCUUGUGGUUAGAGUGUAUGGUGUACUAGUCAAGGUUCUCCAGGGAAACAGAACUGACACGACAUAUAAUGUAAAUAUUAUUAGAUUUAUUGUAGGAAUUGGCUCUCAUCACUGUGGGGAUUCGCAAGUCUGAAUCCAUAAGGCAGACUAUAAGCUGGGAACUCCAUUGAAGGUUUUGAUGAAUUCCCCAGGAGAAGCUGUCUGGCUGAAGUAGAGAUAGACAUUCUUCUUUCUGACUGCUGAAAUUAUCAAUUCUCCCUUUAAGGCCUUCAACUGAUUGUGUGAGACUUCUAUCACUGUUGAGGCAAUCUUCUUUGUUGAUUGUGAAUGUGAUCAGUCAUAGAUGCAAUCAUCUGACUGAUGAUUUAAAUCUAUGAAAUUUCCUCACAGUAAUAAUCUGCCAGUACUUGCUUGACUGAACAACUGGACACCAUAACCCAGCCAAGCUGACACAUCAACUCAACCAUCACAUGUGAUAUGUGUGUUUGGGUUGGGGGGGGGUGGUUGCUGUCAGAAAUAAAGGUGGAAUGACAUGUGACCAUACUAUUAGGGAUUUUAAAUGUCACAUAAAGGAGUUUGAACUUUAUCCGAAAGACAGUGGGGAGCCACUGAAGUUUUUUGAGCAAGGAAGUAUCAUGAUUGGUUGUGUUUUCAGACACUGGCCUAUGAAGAAGAAUGAAGGGUGGAAUGGAAGAGGCAGUGGGGAAAGAGCAGGGUGAAAAGAUGAUGGGGAGCCUAUUGCA